rnacentral:rRNA from 1 species
AAUCAACGCUGGCGGCGUGCCUAACACAUGCAAGUCGAGCGAGAAAGUGGAGCAAUCCAUGAGUACAGCGGCGCACGGGUGAGUAACACGUGACUAACCUACCCUCGAGUGGGGAAUAACUUCGGGAAACCGAGGCUAAUACCGCAUAAUACCCACGGGUCAAAAGAGCAAUCUGCUUGAGGAGGGGGUCGCGGCCGAUUAGUUAGUUGGCAGGGUAAUGGCCUACCAAGACGANGAUCGGUAUCCGGCCUGAGAGGGCGCACGGACACACUGGAACUGAAACACGGUCCAGACUCCUACGGGAGGCAGCAGUGGGGGAAUUUUGCGCAUGGGGGAAACCCUGACGCAGCAACGCCGCGU